CAAUAGCGUAUAUUAAAGUUGUUGCAGUUAGAACGCUCGUAGUCGGAUUUCGGGGCGGGCCGACCGGUCUGCCGAUGGGUACGCACUGGUCGGCGCGUCCUUCCUUCCGGAGACCGUGCCUACUCUUAACUGAGCGGGGGCGGGAGACGGAUCGUUUACUUUGAAAAAAUCAGAGUGUUUCAAGCAGGCAGCUCGCUCUUGCAUGGAUUAGCAUGGGAUAAUGAAAUAGGACUUUGGUGCUAUUUUGUUGGUCUCGAACACCGAAGUAAUGAUUAAAAGGGACAGUCAGGGGCACUCGUAUUCCGCCGAGAGAGGUGAAAUUCUCAGACCAGCGGAAGACGAACUACUGCGAAAGCAUUUGCCAGGGAUGUUUNCACUG
rnacentral:rRNA from 1 species